AUUGAACGCUGGCGGCAUGCCUUACACAUGCAAGUCGAACGGUAACAGGUCUUCGGAUGCUGACGAGUGGCGAACGGGUGAGUAAUACAUCGGAACGUGCCUAGUAGUGGGGGAUAACUACUCGAAAGAGUGGCUAAUACCGCAUGAGAUCUACGGAUGAAAGCAGGGGAUCGCAAGACCUUGUGCUACUAGAGCGGCCGAUGGCAGAUUAGGUAGUUGGUGGGAUAAAAGCUUACCAAGCCGACGAUCUGUAGCUGGUCUGAGAGGACGAUCAGCCACCCUGGGACUGAGACACGGCCCAGACUCCUACGGGAGGCAGCAGUGGGGAAUUUUGGACAAUGGUCGAAAGCCUGAUCCAGCAAUGCCGCGUGCAGGAUGAAGGCCUUCGGGUUGUAAACUGCUUUUGUACGGAACGAAAAGCCCCGGGUUAAUACCCUGGGGUCAUGACGGUACCGUAAGAAUAAGCACCGGCUAACUACGUGCCAGCAGCCGCAGUAA
rnacentral:rRNA from 1 species